GCCUCUAUGGCGCAGUGGUAACGGUAAGUGAAUUAAGACAGAUUUUCUGGUAGCUCUAGUCUGACAAUGCUUCAGCGUCGCACUUGUACUGCUGAAAGGGAUGCUUCCUCUUGUGGCGAUCAAUGCGAAGAUCACAAGUUCAAUUCUUGUUGGAGGCA
rnacentral:tRNA from 1 species